GUAGAACGCUGAAGCUCGGUGCUUGCACCGAGCGGAGGAGUUGCGAACGGGUGAGUAACGCGUAGGUAACCUGCCUCUUAGCGGGGGAUAACUAUUGGAAGCGAUAGCUAAUACCGCAUAAAAGUCGACAUUGCAUGAUGUUGACUUGAAAGGUGCAAAUGCAUCACUAAGAGAUGGACCUGCGUUGUAUUAGCUAGUUGGUGAGGUAACGGCUCACCAAGGCGGCGAUACAUAGCCGACCUGAGAGGGUGAUCGGCCACACUGGGACUGAGACACGGCCCAGACUCCUACGGGAGGCAGCAGUAGGGAAUCUUCGGGAAUGGACGGAAGUCUGACCGAGCAACGCCGCGUGAGUGAAGAAGGUUUUCGGAUCGUAAAGCUCUAUUGUAAGAGAAGAACGUGUGUGAGAGUGGAAAGUUCACACUGUGACGGUAACUUACCAGAAAGGGACGGCUAACUACGUGC
rnacentral:rRNA from 1 species